rnacentral:rRNA from 1 species
CGGAAAGGCCCUGCUUGCAGGUACCCGAGUGGCGAACGGGUGAGUAACACGUGGGUGAUCUGCCCUGCACUUCGGGAUAAGCCUGGGAAACUGGGUCUAAUACCGGAUAGGAGCCAUUUUUAGUGUGAUGGUUGGAAAGUUUUUUCGGUGUAGGAUGAGCUCGCGGCCUAUCAGCUUGUUGGUGGGGUAAUGGCCUACCAAGGCGGCGACGGGUAGCCGGCCUGAGAGGGUGGACGGCCACAUUGGGACUGAGAUACGGCCCAGACUCCUACGGGAGGCAGCAGUGGGGAAUAUUGCACAAUGGGCGCAACUGGAUGCAGCGACGCGCGUGGGGGAUGACGGCUUCGGGUUGUAACUCCUUUCGCUAGGGACGAGCUUUUUGUGACGGUACUAGAUAAGAGCACCGGCUAACUACGUCCCAGCAGCCGCGGUAAUACGUAGGGUGCGAGCGUUGUCCGGAAUUACUGGGCGUAAAGGGCUCGUAGGUGGUUUGUCGCGUCGUCUGUGAAAUUCCGGGGCUUAACUCCGGGCGUGCAGGCGAUACGGGCAUAACUUGAGUACUGUAGGGGUAACUGGAAUUCCUGGUGUAGCGGUGAAAUGCGCAGAUAUCAGGAGGAACACCGAUGGCGAAGGCAGGUUACUGGGCAGUUACUGACGCUGAGGAGCGAAAGCAUGGGUAGCGAACAGGAUUAGAUACCCUGGUAGUCCAUGCCGUAAACGGUGGGCGCUAGGUGUGAGGGUCGUUUUCACGACUUUCGUGCCGUAGUAACGCAUUA